rnacentral:rRNA from 1 species
CCUUAACUGUGCUAAGGUAGCAUAAUAAAUUGACUUUUAAUUGGGGCCUUGAAUGAAAGGAUAGUUGGACAAAUUCUGUCUUAAUAACAGUAAAAAUAACUUACUUAAAAGGUGAAAAUUCCUUUAAGCUUCAUUACAAUAGACGAGAAGACCCUAGGAGUUUAUAUUUUCUUUUUGCUGGGGCGGUAAUAUAGCAUAUAACCUAUAAUGUAAUUGAAACAUUAUUAUAUAACAAGUUAUACUUAAGACAAAUUUAACUACCCUAGGGAUAACAGCAUAAUUUAUUAUAAAAGUUUGUGACCUCGAUGUUGGACUAGGAACUUUUAAAGCUAACAGCGUUAAUUGAUAGUUCUGUUCGA